AGCAGUCCCUGAGCCUGCACCAGCCUCUGUGGAUGUCACGGAGGUCACGCAAAGUCACAGAAUCUGUGACCUCCGUGAAAGAAUUGCAGCCUUAAUCAU